CCCGCGCCUGGGCCGCCGGCGACCACGCCCCCGGGCUCGCGCUCUGGUCCCGGCUCACCGGGGCGGGCGUGUUCGCGCUCGCGGUGCCGGA
rnacentral:tRNA from 1 species